UACACCCACUCCCUGUUCAUUGUCUGAACUUGAAGAAAACUACCCACAUUUCCUGUGGAAAGGCCCACACUGCCACUUUGACAAAGGACGGUGGAGUGUUUACGUUUGGCUCUGGUGAAUAUGGACAGCUCGGACACAACUCAUUCAGAGAUGAACUAAGACCUCGGCUUGUUGCAGAGCUCUGGGGGGCAAAGGUCACCAAGAUCGCCUGUGGAAGACAUCACACAUUGGUUUUGACGGACUCCAAGAGGGUCUACUCCUUUGGGUGUGGAGAGCAGGGGCAGCUGGGACACGGAGAGGAGAGUCAUCCGUCUGUGCCGCUACCUGUUCAACUGCCACAGGACACCAAUGAUGUAAUUAAAAACAUCUUCGCAGGGGGAAACUGUUCAUUUGCAGUUUACACGUCUAAUGAGGUACCAGCAGAAAAACAUACAGUGCAGACCAUAAUGGUCAUGGGCAGUGCUUGAAUUGGAAUAA